rnacentral:rRNA from 1 species
AUUGAACGCUGGCGGCAUGCCUUACACAUGCAAGUCGAACGGCAGCACGGGAGCAAUCCUGGUGGCGAGUGGCGAACGGGUGAGUAAUAUAUCGGAACGUGCCCAGUCGUGGGGGAUAACGCAGCGAAAGCUGUGCUAAUACCGCAUACGAUCUAAGGAUGAAAGCGGGGGAUCGCAAGACCUCGCGCGAUUGGAGCGGCCGAUAUCAGAUUAGCUAGUUGGUGGGGUAAAGGCCCACCAAGGCGACGAUCUGUAGCUGGUCUGAGAGGACGACCAGCAACACGGGAACUGGGACACGGUCCAGACUCCUACGGGAGGCAGCAGUGGGGAAUUUUGGACAAUGGGCGCAAGCCUGAUUCAGCAAUGCCGCGUGCAGGAUGAAGGCCUUCGGGUUGUAAACUGCUUUUGUACGGAACGAAACGGCCCUUUCUAAUACAGGGGGCUAAUGACGGUACCGUAAGAAUAAGCACCGGCUAACUACGUGCCAGCCGCCGCAGUAACAC